rnacentral:rRNA from 1 species
UACGGAGGGUGCAAGCGUUAAUCGGAAUUACUGGGCGUAAAGCGCACGCAGGUGGCUGAGUCAGUCGAUUGUGAAAGCCCUGGGCUUAACCUGGGAAUUGCAGUCGAUACUACUCAGCUAGAGUAUGGGAGAGGGUAGCGGAAUUCCCGGUGUAGUGGUGAAAUGCGUAGAUAUCGGGAGGAACACCAGUGGCGAAAGCGGCUACCUGGCCCAUUCUUGACGCUGAGGCGCGAAAGCUAGGGGAGCAAACGGG